UUAUCACCGUACUGCGGCGCAUGAGAGAAAAGAUCCCCUUUCUUCGGGCUGUAUUUUCAACCAGUGAUUCAGAAGCACUGAUAAGCUUGCUCUUGUACCUUUGAGCUGUACUCACAUUGCUGCUGGGAGGCAACAACAGGGGAAACGCAGAGUUCUCCGGUAACUGUGAAGGACGAGACCGGAAGAGUGACCUCCACCCCAGACCACAUCUCACUUUUAGCUCAUUUUGUUAAAAGAUCCUGUAAUCCUGUAUGUUGUGCCGCAGGCUUGAGUCUCUCACAGAUUACAGACCGGAUUUUACUUUUGGAACUCUUUAUUAAUGAAAACCAACCCAUAGGAAAAAUUUAAUGAAGGCAGGAAAAGAGAUGUCAGCUGUCUUGAAUAUUUGCAAGGUUGUCAAGCCAGAGAUGGAGAAGAGUGAUCCAGGUAUUCCAGAAGACAGAACCAGGGCCCAUCAAAUCUAAAGGGAGGUAUUUGGACUCACUGUGAGGUAAAGCAUCUACCAGUUAGAGCAGGUGAGUUGUAAAUACUGCCUUAAGUGGAGGUGGGCCAGGGUGGCCACUUACUGCAACAUGGUUGGGAGGACAGAAUUAGGUGACCUCUAAGAAACCUCUGCUGCUAAGAAGCAGAAAUCAAGA